AGAGUUUGAUCCUGGCUCAGGAUGAACGCUAGCUACAGGCUUAACACAUGCAAGUCGAGGGGCAGCAUCAUCAAAGCUUGCUUUGAUGGAUGGCGACCGGCGCACGGGUGAGUAACACGUAUCCAACCUGCCGACAACACUGGGAUAGCCUUUCGAAAGAAAGAUUAAUACCGGAUGGCAUAGUUUUCCCGCAUGGGAUGAUUAUUAAAGAAUUUCGGUUGUCGAUGGGGAUGCGUUCCAUUAGGCAGUUGGCGGGGUAACGGCCCACCAAACCAACGAUGGAUAGGGGUUCUGAGAGGAAGGUCCCCCACAUUGGAACUGAGACACGGUCCAAACUCCUACGGGAGGCAGCAGUGAGGAAUAUUGGUCAAUGGACGAGAGUCUGAACCAGCCAAGUAGCGUGAAGGAUGACUGCCCUAUGGGUUGUAAACUUCUUUUAUACGGGAAUAAAGUGAGCCACGUGUGGCUUUUUGUAUGUACCGUAUGAAUAAGGAUCGGCUAACUCCGUGCCAGCAGCCGCGGU
rnacentral:rRNA from 1 species